UUUGAGUUGAGUCCAGCAGGAGGAUUCCUUGGCUCUGUCUUAUUGUUAGGUUUGAUUUUCAGUCCCCUAGGAGCAUUCAGUUUGUUAUUGGUAAGGAAGUGUAUUCAGAGGUCUGAACUUCUUCUGCUUCUAGCCCGCCAUCUUGACUUUGCCUCUUCUCAUUUGCUUCUCAUACCAUCUGUGUGACAUACCAUGAUAACUAUUUUAUAUAUGGGGAAAACUGAGGUUCAGAGAGGUUAAGUGACUUUCCAAAGGGAACAGAACUAGGAAGUGCCUGGGGUAAGAUUUGUAUGCAGGUCUUUCUGGAUCUGAGUUUCUUAUUAGUUAUUAUGUUAUUAAUAUGUCAUGUAGUAUUAUAAGUCUAGAUGAGUCUAGCCUAGUCUAUCUGAGAUAUCUACCCUGUUUCCUGGAAGAGGUGUGAUUUUAAAGACAGGCAUGAGUUGGCAUUCCAGAACUAGAAGAAAAAAAGCAUAGUGCUUCCCCUCAAUAAUCCUAUGAUGUUUCUAUCAUCACCAGACAAGGAAAUUGCAGUAUCUAGAAGUUGAGUAACUUCAUGCAGUCAGUAAGUGUCAAAGUUGAGUCUUGAAUAUAAUUUUUUUUCUUUUUUUAGCCAAAGUUCUUUCUGAAACACCACAUUGUCUUCUCUCAGACACGGAAUUAGUUGUAGGAAACAAAUUAGAGGCAGAACUAAUUGCAAAUGCUUUUAAAAUGUGAUUGUCCAAAUAUCGCCAUGUUGGUGAACAAGUUCUUUUUUGUGUGGUAGAUUAUGGCAGCAUAAUGGGGUUGAGGGAAGAAAGGAGAGAGUGGGUGUAUAUUUUUUUUUUCUCAAUUCUUUUCUAUCAUAAGCAGCAUCUAACUGACUGAUUUCAAUUCAGUUGAUAAUGAGCCACACAGUGCAUUAUCUCAGCAUCUCAUCCAUCAUUACUGUUACCUGGUAGUGCAGUCAGAUGAAGAGAAGGGUAAGCAUUAAAUGCAAGUAUGUUUUAUAUUGUCCCUUUAAUGUCUUUUAGGAUCAUUAAUGUUUAGUGUCAUCCUGGAACAGAGCAGCCAGAAAGAUCUUUACUCCCCAUCCCUUUCGUAUUUAUUUUCCUUCCAGUUAUCUCUUGUACAAUUAUAAACACAGCUUUGCAAGAACACAGAAUCUUCUUUUUUAUUUUUAUUUUUUGCCAUAGAUCUGAUAUAUUACAGUUUUAUACUUCUUGACUAGAAGUAUUUUCCGACAUAAUCACUGCUCAGAGACACAGGCCAUGGCAGAUCAAAUGAGGGACGUGAUUGUAUCUCUAUAAAGUAAUGGUGAAACUUCCAUUAAGACCUUCCUCUUAUGUUUCAUUGUGGUCUUGAGAACUUACAUUCCCAAUUGCUAGGCAAUAGAAUACAAACUUUGGCAGGUCCCAUUCAGAUGGAAAAGCUCUGAGUCUGGGCUCAGGAAAAGAUGCUAAGCCUGCCAUUGUCUGUUCCAUAUGGAGAAACUCAUCACAUUGUUGGCCAUGUGGUGAAGACUUUUUUUUUGUCCACAGCUACUACCAAUAACCACAUAAUAAGCUGUGAGUGGGAAUACCCAUCCUUCCCCUCAAAAAGUAUCUCUCAUCUUUGAAAUUCUAAAGUAGAGCUAUGAAACACCACUGUGAUAGUUAAUUCAAUAGUUUGUAAUACUAAGAAUCAAAUCAUACUUAGAAGCUUGCAUAUCAUUUUUAACCUACUUGUCAGUUAAGUGCCUACAAUUUCAACUAGUCAUUGAGAAUUUUAGAGCUAGGAAAAACUUCAGGGAUUAUUUUAAUCUAAUUUCCAGAUUUUGAAGAUGGCUAAACAGAGUCAGAGUGGUGAAAUGACUUCUUCAAGGUCACUAGAUAGGUAAUUACCAAGCUGGGACUUUAGAAUUAGGGCAGGCACUCAAAAUGGGAAAUACCAUUUCCAUAGGGAGGGCAAUGUGCUUGACUCUAAGGGUACAAAAAUGAAAACAGCAACAAUGACAAAAAACAACCCAUAGUUCCCUUCAUCAGGGAGCUUUGUAUAUCGUAUACAAUCUAAUGUUUUAAAGCUCCUCCCUUAUAUCAUGCUUUCCUUUUCCCCUAUUUUUCCAGAUUACAUGUUAAAACAGUUUUAAUAAUCAUUUUCUGACGUUUUGUGACCCAUAUUCUCUUCCUUCCUCCCACUCUUUCCUUUCCCAAGAUGACAGAUAAGAUGACAUAGGUUGUGCAUGUUAUGACAGAAUAUGUUUUUCCAUGUUUCUCAUGUGAAAGAAGAUUUAUAUGGCUUAUUCUAAAAACUCAUAAAGGAAGUAAAAUGAAGAAUGGUAUGCUUUAACCUAUAUUCAGACCAUCAGUUCCUUCUAUGGCAGUGAGUAGCUUUUUUUCAACAUGAGUCCCUUGGAUUUGUCCUAGUUCCUUGCAUUUCUGAUAAUAACUAAGUCAUUUAGAGUUGAUCAUUGUAGUUACUCUCUUGGUUCCAAUUUUUUUUUUUUUUUGAGAAAACCUGGGUCCACCACCAUGACGUUCAUAGUGAGGCAAAGUAGCACUUUUCUGGGGAAAUAAUACAUUAUUGUUUGUUCAGAGGUGUACAAAUAAAUCACAAAAUCACUGAAGGAAGUACCCAUGUUCUUUACACAGGCAUUUUGCAUGUAUUAUGCUGCUAUAUAGAUUGGAUGAGUGUAUAACCUGAGGGGGUCUAGUGAUAAUAACUAUAUGUCUCCUCUACAUCCUACCAGAUGUAAUUGCACUGUUGCUGGGCUUUGAAACUGUUGGUGCCUUCGGGUUUCAUACAUGACCCAGGUUGAUGACUAUUGGCAGUUUGGUACAAUGAGGAGAUACUGGCCUUUGCACUCAUAGACUGUAUGACUUUGGGGAAAUUAUUUUAGCUCUUUGAGCCUCUGUUUCUCCAUUCUCCAUCUGUAAAAUGAAGGGGUUGACUUAAUGGUCUCUGAAAUCCUUUCCAAUUUUAAUAAUGCAUGAGAAAAUUCAUUUUGCUUGAGUAUAUGUAUUUGUUACAAGAGCUUUGAAAAUGAAGGGGAAUAGGAAUAGAGUAGAAAAAAGGGGGUGGGGAGAGUCAGACAGAGAAAGAGACAGAAAUGGCAGAGACAGAGAGGAAGAGGAGAGACAGAGAUAGAGAUAGAAAAAAGGAGGAAGAAAGGAGAGACAUUGACAGAGAGCAGAGAGAGGAAGGGAUGGAAGGAAGGAGGAAAGGAGGGAGAAGAUAUGAAAGAAAGAAAGCAAAAGAAAGGAGAAAAAAUUGUUCUAAGAAAUGGAGAGAAGAGAACAAAAAUUCCAGAUGAAUAAGAAAGCUUGGGAAGCUACAGUUUAUCCUACAUAUUUUUUAAAAUUUAAAUAUUUAUUACAUUUAAAUAUCCAGUUAACCACCUCCAUCCCUCCCCUUUCCCCAAUAGAAAAGGCACCAUUUGACAGAUACAUAAAUAUAUAUACAUUUUUUUUCUAUUUAUCAGUUCUUCCUCUGGAGGUAAACAUGCAUAGGUCAUUCUUCAAGCAAUAUUUAUGUUGCUGUAUAUAAUAAUCUCUUGGUAAUUCUCAUUUCAUUCUUCAUAAUUUCAUGUAGGUCUUUUCAUGUUUUUCCAAAAUUAACCUGCUUGUUGUUUCUUACAGCAUAGUAAUAUUCCAUCAAAAUCAAAUGCUACAACUUAUUCAGCUAUUUCCCCAAUAUAUGGGUUUCCCUUCAGUUUCCAGUUUUUUGCCACCACAAAGAGAGCUGCUAUAAAUAUUUUGCAACAUAUAAGUUCAUUUCUUUUCCCCCUGAAUAUCUUAGGAAAAAACCUAAUAGUGAUAUUGCAAGGUCAAAAGGUAUCUACAUAACUCUGAGUAUAAUUCUAGAUGGAUCUCCAAAAUGGUUGGAUCAGUUCACAGUUCCAUCAACAGUAUUUGUGUCCCCAUUUUUCCAUAUCCCCUCUAACAUUUGUAAUUUUGUCCUUUUAUCAUUUUAGCCAAUCUGAUAGAUGUGGAAUGAUAGCUUAGAGUUGUUAUGAUUUGCAUUUCUCUAAUCAAUAAUGAUUUAGAGUGUUUUUUCAUAUAGCCUAUUGUUAAUGAUUUUAAGAAGAUUGAUUUCCUCCAAAUAGUUCCUGAAAUCAAUUAUUAAGUGAUGGAAAUCUUGUUGGGGAAGAAUGUAAUUAUAAUUUUGAAACAUGGAAUACUGUGGAAGAAAAAAGCAGUCUCGGAUAUUGAUGACAUGGUGAUUUGCUAUAGGUAGCCAAAUAACAGUAGAAGGGAACAGGAUAUCUUGCAGGGAUUAUUACACAUGUAGGGUAUACCAGUGACAAGUGAGAAAGGGAUCAAGGAAGAGAUGUGAGAAUGUUUCCAUCUUAUACUAUAAUUUACUGAAGGGAAGCACUAUAUGAGUAAUGAUUUAAAAAAACCCAAUAUCUUAAAGCCAAAUUUAAUAGGUUUUUCAGAAUAAAUUUAAAAGGACUUUGGGAUGAUUUAUUGAAAUGAUCAUUUGUUAAUGUAGUCAAUUUAAAGAGAUAUUGUUCAGUUUUCAUUUCAAACUUGAUGUUGCCUUACUGCACCAAAAAUGCAGCCUUCCUAAUGGGAAUUAUACUUACAUAAAGCAUGCAUUUUAAAACAUGAAUAUUGGGAAAAACCCAAUUUCAUUGCAUAUCAUUUGGUUUUAGAUGUGAUUUCCUCCUUGUUCUCUUCUUAUAUUCAGUUCAUUAUAGAACAAAAUCAAUAUUACACAAUGGCUUUUAAUACAAUUCAGCAUAGUGUAUGUGUGUGUGUGUGUGUGUGUGUGUGUGUGUGUGUUUAUUGAAACUGGUUUGGAUGCAUAACAAAUAAGAUUGGCCUUCACUAGGAAUCAAUUUCAGUUUUUUGGGAACAGACAUGUUAUUUGCUUCCUCAGUUUUUCUUUAUGAGAAUGUGAGGAAGAAAAUCUAAGAGCUACUGUGGUUCAAGGUGUCAGUAAUUCCCCCCUUUUUUGUCUAAUUUCUUCCCUGUUCAGCUGUUUAUAAGUGCUUUCACCUAUAGACCAUUAGGUUGGUCUUGUUGCUUCAAGAAUUCAAUUCUAGUCAACAUUUUAAAUUAGGCACCUAUGAGGAACAAAGCACUAUCAAAGGAGGAGAUACAAUAAUGAAUAAGACAUCUUUUUUAAUUAUCAAGGGGUUAAGAUGGAAUGUGACAUUCAUUUUGAUUCAGCAAAUGUAUAUUAAGGGUGUAAUACAUGAAGAUCAAAAGACAGAAAAGAAGACAAGUCUCUAUUCCCAAAGAGAACAUUCUGCUGGGGAAUACAACAUAUACAUAAAGGAUGUUUAAAGAAGGCAAAUGAUGUCCUGUUGAUAGAGGCAUCUCAGGAGAAUGCUGCCAGAAGUGCUGAGGCAGGUGUUGGACAGGCACCAGGCAGGAUUUCAUCGGAAAGAAGAUAUUAAUGGUCAUUAAAUAAAAUCACCGUGGCUCUUCCCUGCCUGUGAGCCUGGAAAGUACCAGAAUAAAUAAUCCAGGCAGUUGA